rnacentral:lncRNA from 1 species
GCUUUGUCAAUAUGCUUCGUCUUCAUUCCUGCCAUGGUUGUUCAAAUCAGGGAACUCCUAGCAUUUCAGAUCCCCAGAUUGCUGUUUAAUGGACAGCUGAAACGAGGUGCUCUGUGGACAUUAGUUCAGACUUGGAGGCUUGGAAUCAGUUCUUUGUAACUGGCUUGGUCUCAUUCCUGAGGAUGACGGAGCUUCUUCCCAUGACCAUGCACAGAUGACAUCAGCACUCAGAAUCUCAUUCACAAUGAAACCCAUCUGCAGGGAGCCACCUUUACCCCGAGUAUGGAUUUCAGCUUUGCUUCUAUUUAAUCGUUUCACUGUGCUGUCCAAGCUGGUCUUGAACUCCUGGACUCAAGCAAUCUUCCCUUCCUCAGCUUCCCCAGAUCCUGAGAUUACAGGCAUGAGCCACCAUGCCUGGCCUGGUGAUUCUCUUUAAUGAUUAAAAAGUCAAAAG